rnacentral:lncRNA from 10 species
CGGCACUUAUCACCCCAUGAAAUUAUCGUGUUUUUUUUGUUUGUUUUCUGUCUAGACAGUAAUCUACUAUCUACUCUAUGUGAGCAGGGACUUUGUGAGUGAGCUGCUAGGACCUUGGCACCUAAAAUAGUGCUUGGCAUGUACUAGAAAUGAACAAACAAUUGUAGAAUAAGUGAAUGAAGGGCAGAGAACACAGCCCCUUACUCUCUGAGACAAGUCCUGGAGUCCCCUUCUGUCAACUGCUCAGUUCUACCACCCCUAUUUCUCUCUCUCUCUUUCAGAUGUGCUGAACCUAACUAAAGCACCUUCAGGUGAGGUGUCCUGCCCUCAAAGUCCAGUCUGUUUUCCUGGCUCCAGACAACUCCAAGCCAAGGAAAUCCUUCACAUCUCCCACUCAUUUUAGAGCCUGUUUGGGAAAAAAAGAAAGAGAAGAGGAUAUGCCUCAUGCCCAGAGAAGCCAUUUGGGACAAAAACAAAGAUGUUGAAGGAGGAUUUUUAAAAUCCUCUGUGAUGUAUAAUGUAAGUCUUCUAUGACAUUGCUUCCAGUAAAAUCCACCUUACUAGCUGUCUUAACCAGGUCUUGCCGUGAUAAUGCCAUGAAGAAAACAAACCCCCAAUCUCAGUGUCCUACAAAAUCAAUGAUUAUUUCACACUCCUAAGUCUCCAAGUCAACUGCAGUUCAGCUGAUGCUGGCUGGGCCAGGCUGGACUCUUGAAUUCAGUCUAGGUCAGGUCUGCUCCACAUGCCUGCAUCCGGACCCAGGAUGAAGAAACAACGGCUAUCCGAGGCUCUCGAGGUGGAAGAACUUUGCCAUGACUGUAUGGCUUCCGCUUGAAAAAAAGCAUACUGUCCUUCCUACCUGCCUUCGAUUGGCCAAAAUAAAUCCCAUGGCCAAGCCCAAAGUCAGGGGGUUGGUAGAGUGGAUGCUAUGGGGUUCCACCCAGAUCCACCCUUCAGAGCCUGCUGGGAAUCUUCUGCUGGCUCACAACUGUGUCACUCAUUGGGAAUUGCCCUUGGCCACAGGGAACUGCCUCACCCACAGUCAUGGCCAUGAUUGGCUAAUGAUUGGCUGAUGGUUUCCUUUGAAGGAAAACAAAGGCCUGCCUUCUUCCUUCAGUUUAGCACAACUCUUCGGGGAUAGAUGAGCUCUAGGGCUCCUGAGGAUCAGCAGCUACCUCAGUUGCUAUCGCAUAGUAGAUCAACCUCUCCUUCUGUCUAAUCCUACCUCCUACCUUCCUUAUAGAUGAAUCUCCUGAGCACACUCCCCUAAAAACCUUCUGCACACCACUCUCUGUCUCGGAAUUGGUUUCCAGGAAACCUGCUGUAAGACAGAUAGGCAAGUACACACCAUGCAAGGGUAACCAUGGCAAUGGCAAGGAAGGAAGGAAGACUUUCAGACAAAGAAUACAAUCGACUACAAUAGUUACAUAAAGGAUACAUCACAGAGACAGAUCUAUUUUGCCUGCAGCAAAAUGCUAGGCACAUGCUCAAUGUGUAUGUAAGGGGAGAAUUGAGGCCACCUCUGGGAGGUUCCCAUUUUUUAUUGCACUGAUUAUAUUUUGUAUAUUAGGAUUCCAAAUAGGUUAUGCUGUAGCAAAGGUUCCUGGGCCUUCAAAAAAGGGUUUUCAAAUCACUUGGUUCCAUGAUGUCUAUAGCUCUGUUCAGCUCUGCCAGUUGGGAUGGGGCAAACCCGAGUGAUUCUCAGAUCCUGUGCAUUUACAGCAGAAAAUGCGUCAGGUUGGUGGGUGAAAUCCCUGUUGCAGGUGUCAUUGGCUGAAUUGCAUCCCUCCAAAAUUCAUAUGCUGAAGUUCUAACCCUCAGUUCCUCAAAAUGUGACUGCAUUUGGAGAUAGGGCCUUUAAAGAGGUAAUCAAGUUAAAAUGGGUUUUUUAGGGUGAGCUCUAAUCCAAUAUUACUGGUAUCCUUAUAAGAAGAGGCGAUAAAUACAUCAACAAGCAAAAACCAACCCCAUUAAAAAGUGAGCAAAGGAUAGGAACAGACAAUUCUCAAAAGAAGAUAUACAAGUGGCCAAAAAACAUGAAAAAAUGUUCAGCAUCAAUCAUCACUAAUCAUCAGAGAAAUGCAAACGUAAACUACAAUGAGAUAUCAUCUCACACUAGUCAGAAUGGCUAUUAUUAAAAAGUCAAAAAAUAACAGAUGUUGGCGGGGUUACAGAGGAAAGGGAAUGAUUAUACAUUCUUGGUGAGAAUGUAAAUUAGUUAAGCAAUUUGGAGAGUUCUCAGAGAACUAAAUAUAAAACUACCAUUCCACUCAGCAAUCUCAUGACUAGAUAUAUACCCAAAGGA